UUUUAGCAAGGAAGAAGCGAAAGUGACGGUACUUGCAGAAAAAGCGCCGGCUAAUUACGUGCCAGCAGCCGCGGUAAUACGUAGGGCGCAAGCGUUAUCCGGAAUUAUUGGGCGUAAAGAGCUCGUAGGCGGUUUGUCGCGUCUGCUGUGAAAUCCCGAGGCUCAACCUCGGGCCUGCAGUGGGUACGGGCAGACUAGAGUGCGGUAGGGGAGAUUGGAAUUCCUGGUGUAGCGGUGGAAUGCGCAGAUAUCAGGAGGAACACCGAUGGCGAAGGCAGAUCUCUGGGCCGUAACUGACGCUGAGGAGCGAAAGGGUGGGGAGCAAACAGGCUUAGAUACCCUGGUAGUCCACCCCGUAAACGUUGGGAACUAGUUGUGGGGUCCUUUCCACGGAUUCCGUGACGCAGCUAACGCAUUAAGUUCCCCGCCUGGGGAGUACGGCCGCAAGGCUAAAACUCAAAGGAAUUGACGGGGACCCGCACAAGCGGCGGAGCAUGCGGAUUAAUUCGAUGCAACGCGAAGAACCUUACCAAGGCUUGACAUACACGAGAACACCCUAGAAAUAGGGGACUCUUUGGACACUCGUGAACAGGUGGUGCAUGGUUGUCGUCAGCUCGUGUCGUGAGAUGUUGGGUUAAGUCCCGCAACGAGCGCAACCCUCGUUCUAUGUUGCCAGCACGUAAUGGUGGGAACUCAUGGGAUACUGCCGGGGUCAACUCGGAGGAAGGUGGGGAUGACGUCAAAUCAUCAUGCCCCUUAUGUCUUGGGCUUCACGCAUGCUACAAUGGCCGGUACAAAGGGCUGCAAUACCGUGAGGUGGAGCGAAUCCCAAAAAGCCGGUCCCAGUUCGGAUUGAGGUCUGCAACUCGACCUCAUGAAGUCGGAGUCGCUAGUAAUCGCAGAUCAGCAACGCUGCGGUGAAUACGUUCCCGGGUCUUGUACACACCGCCCGUCAAGUCAUGAAAGUCGGUAACACCUGAAGCCGGUGGCCCAACCCUUGUGGAGGGAGCCGUCGAAGGUGG
rnacentral:rRNA from 1 species